UACGGGGGGAGCAAGCGUUGUUCGGAUUUACUGGGCGUAAAGAGCUCGUAGGCGGUCUGUUACGUCUGCUGUGAAAACCCGGGGCUUAACCCUGGGCUUGCAGUGGAUACGGGCAGACUAGAGGCAGGUAGGGGAGAAUGGAAUUCCCGGUGUAGCGGUGAAAUGCGCAGAUAUCGGGAGGAACACCGGCGGCGAAGGCGGUUCUCUGGGCCUGACCUGACGCUGAGGAGCGAAAGCGUGGGGAGCGAACAGG
rnacentral:rRNA from 1 species